rnacentral:rRNA from 1 species
CACAUGCAAGUCGAACGGAAAGGCCUUCGGGUACACGAGUGGCGAACGGGUGAGUAACACGUGGGUGAUCUGCCCUGCACUUUGGGAUAAGCCUGGGAAACUGGGUCUAAUACCGAAUAGGACCACAUGCUUCAUGGUGUGUGGUGGAAAGCUUUUGCGGUGUGGGAUGGGCCCGCGGCCUAUCAGCUUGUUGGUGGGGUAAUGGCCUACCAAGGCGACGACGGGUAGCCGGCCUGAGAGGGUGUCCGGCCACACUGGGACUGAGAUACGGCCCAGACUCCUACGGGAGGCAGCAGUGGGGAAUAUUGCACAAUGGGCGCAAGCCUGAUGCAGCGACGCCGCGUGAGGGAUGACGGCCUUCGGGUUGUAAACCUCUUUCAGCAGGGACGAAGCGUAAGUGACGGUACCUGUAGAAGAAGCACCGGCCAACUACGUGCCAGCAGCCGCGGUAAUACGUAGGGUGCGAGCGUUGUCCGGAAUUACUGGGCGUAAAGAGCUCGUAGGUGGUUUGUCGCGUUGUUCGUGAAAACUCACAGCUUAACUGUGGGCGUGCGGGCGAUACGGGCAGACUGGAGUACUGCAGGGGAGACUGGAAUUCCUGGUGUAGCGGUGGAAUGCGCAGAUAUCAGGAGGAACACCGGUGGCGAAGGCGGGUCUCUGGGCAGUAACUGACGCUGAGGAGCGAAAGCGUGGGGAGCGAACAGGAUUAGAUACCCUGGUAGUCCACGCCGUAAACGGUGGGUACUAGGUGUGGGUUUCCUUCCUUGGGAUCCGUGCCGUAGCUAACGCAUUAAGUACCCCGCCUGGGGAGUACGGCCGCAAGGCUAAAACUCAAAGGAAUUGACGGGGGCCCGCACAAGCGGCGGAGCAUGUGGAUUAAUUCGAUGCAACGCGAAGAACCUUACCUGGGUUUGACAUGCACAGGACGCCGGCAGAGAUGUCGGUUCCCUUGUGGCCUGUGUGCAGGUGGUGCAUGGCUGUCGUCAGCUCGUGUCGUGAGAUGUUGGGUUAAGUCCCGCAACGAGCGCAACCCUUGUCUCAUGUUGCCAGCACGUAAUGGUGGGGACUCGUGAGAGACUGCCGGGGUCAACUCGGAGGAAGGUGGGGAUGACGUCAAGUCAUCAUGCCCCUUAUGUCCAGGGCUUCACACAUGCUACAAUGGCCGGUACAAAGGGCUGCGAUGCCGUGAGGUGGAGCGAAUCCUUUCAAAGCCGGUCUCAGUUCGGAUCGGGGUCUGCAACUCGACCCCGUGAAGUCGGAGUCGCUAGUAAUCGCAGAUCAGCAACGCUGCGGUGAAUACGUUCCCGGGCCUUGUACACACCGCCCGUCACGUCAUGAAAGUCGGUAACACCCGAAGCCGGUGGCCUAACCCUUGUGGAGGGAGCCGUCGAAGGUGGGAU